UACAGAGGGUGCAAGCGUUGUUCGGAAUUAUUGGGCGUAAAGGGCGCGUAGGCGGUGCGGUAAGUCUGUAGUGAAAUCUCUGGGCUCAACUCAGAGUCUGCUGCAGAAACUGCCGUGCUUGAGUGUGGGAGAGGUGAGUGGAAUUCCCAGUGUAGCGGUGAAAUGCGUAGAUAUUGGGAGGAACACCGGUGGCGAAGGCGGCAUCCUGGACCAAUUCUGACGCUGAGGAGCGAAAGCCAGGGGAGCAAACGGG
rnacentral:rRNA from 1 species